AUUGAACGCUGGCGGCAGGCUUAACACAUGCAAGUCGAGCGAGCGGCGGACGGGUUAGUAAUGUCUGGGCAACUGCCUGAUGGAGGGGGAUAACUACUGGAAACGGUAGCUAAUAACGCAUACCAUCAGAUGUGCCCAGAUGGGAUUAGCUAGUAGGUGGGGGAUUGGCUAACCUAGGCGACGAUCCCUAGCUGGUCUGAGAGGAUGACCAGCCACACUGGAACGGAGACACGGUCCAGACUCCUACGGGAGGCAGCAGUGGGGAAUAUUGGACAAUGGGCGAAAUCCUGAUGCAGCCAUGCCGGGUGUGUGAAGAAGGCCUUCGGGUUGUAAAGCACUUUCAGCGAGGAGGCGUUACUCGCAGAAGAAGCACCGGCUAACUCCGUGCCAGCAGCCGCGGUAAUUC
rnacentral:rRNA from 1 species